rnacentral:rRNA from 1 species
CCUACGGGGGGCUGCAGUGGGGAAUAUUGGACAAUGGGCGAAAGCCUGAUCCAGCCAUGCCGCGUGUGUGAAGAAGGCCUUCGGGUUGUAAAGCACUUUCAGUGGGGAAGAAAGCCUUGGGGCUAAUACCCUCGAGGAAGGACAUCACCCACAGAAGAAGCACCGGCUAACUCCGUGCCAGCAGCCGCGGUAAUACGGAGGGUGCGAGCGUUAAUCGGAAUUACUGGGUGUAAAGCGCGCGUAGGCGGUCUGAUAAGCCGGUUGUGAAAGCCCCGGGCUCAACCUGGGAACGGCAUCCGGAACUGUCAGGCUAGAGUGCAGGAGAGGAAGGUAGAAUUCCCGGUGUAGCGGUGAAAUGCGUAGAGAUCGGGAGGAAUACCAGUGGCGAAGGCGGCCUUCUGGACUGACACUGACGCUGAGGUGCGAAAGCGUGGGUAGCAAACAGGAUUAGAUACCCCUGUAGUC